rfam:Flavobacteriaceae bacterium CG2_30_34_30 cg2_3.0_scaffold_5402_c, whole genome shotgun sequence.
CUUGCAGACUGCCUUAUCGCUAUCUCGAUGCAAAAUCGGGGGGGAGGAAAGUCCGGACACCAUAGGGCAGCAUAGCGGCUAACAGCCGUCAUCUCGAUUUUAUAUCGGGGUAGGACAAGUGCAACAGAAAGGAUGUACAGGUAAUGCUGUAGUGAAAUCAUGUAAACUCUAUGCGGUGCAAUGCCAUGUAAACCUGUGCCUGAGGGCGGCUCGCUCGAUGCAGGAGGGUAGGCAGAUAGAACCAAACAGUAAUGUUUGGUCUAGAUAAAUGAUAAGGAGUCCGCCACCGGCGGAUUACAGAAUCCGGCUUAUAGGUCUGCAUUACUA